UACGUAGGGUCCGAGCGUUGUCCGGAAUUAUUGGGCGUAAAGGGCUCGUAGGCGGUUUGUCGCGUCGGGAGUGAAAACACCGGGCUUAACUCGGUGCUUGCUUUCGAUACGGGCAGACUAGAGGCAUGCAGGGGAGAACGGAAUUCCUGGCGUAGCGGUGAAAUGCGCAGAUAUCAGGAGGAACACCGGUGGCGAAGGCGGUUCUCUGGGCAUGUCCUGACGCUGAGGAGCGAAAGUGUGGGGAGCGAACAGG
rnacentral:rRNA from 1 species